GAUGAACGCUGGCGGCGUGCUUAACACAUGCAAGUCGAACGGGAAUUACUUUAUUGAAACUUCGGUCGAUUUAAUUUAAUUCUAGUGGCGGACGGGUGAGUAACGCGUGGGUAACCUGCCUUGUACAGGGGGAUAACAGUCAGAAAUGGCUGCUAAUACCGCAUAAGCGCACAGGACCGCAUGGUCCGGUGUGAAAAACUCCGGUGGUAUAAGAUGGACCCGCGUUGGAUUAGCUUGUUGGCAGGGUAACGGCCUACCAAGGCGACGAUCCAUAGCCGGCCUGAGAGGGUGAACGGCCACAUUGGGACUGAGACACGGCCCAGACUCCUACGGGAGGCAGCAGUGGGGAAUAUUGCACAAUGGGGGAAACCCUGAUGCAGCGACGCCGCGUGAAGGAAGAAGUAUCUCGGUAUGUAAACUUCUAUCAGCAGGGAAGAG
rnacentral:rRNA from 1 species